GGAGGUUUAGCUCAGUUGGGAGAGCGUCUGUCUUACAAACAGAGGGUCAGCGGUUCGAGCCCGUUAACCUCCA
rfam:Faecalibaculum rodentium strain Alo17, complete genome.